AUUGCUUCAGAUUCACGCGUCUGUGGAAGCGGUGGUGGUGGAGGUGGGGCACCAUGAUCCUAUGGAAAUAAAGGCGCUGGUGUUGGCUUUACUGGACAAACUGGAGAAUUUUUAGGCGAAUUUGAUUUUCCUUCGCUACUUUCACUUGUCCUAAUACAGGAACCGGCGGCUGCUUUUGCCAUCUCCUUAUUUCUAUUGAAACGUGAACGCAACAUAUCCAAUUCUCGUUGCCUUUCCAAAUAAGUGUUGCGUAAAAUAUUAUUCUCCAGUUCUUGGGUGUUUAAACCUUGUUCAAACUUUUCUCGACGAGCAUACACAGCACUGCUAGGAAUAUCAGCUUUAGAUUGCCCCUUUCCUACAAAAGAAUCUUUAAAUACAAACAAAUAUUUACCCUUCAUCUAUCGAUGAAACUCAAUUAAAUUAUACUUAUAUUUAUAGAAAAAAA